rnacentral:rRNA from 1 species
UUUUUUUUUUUGAUCAAUAUAAUCUCCUCCGGCCUGACCCAGAGACAGUUGUUUAACGGCCGCGGUAUUUUGACCGUGCUAAGGUAGCGUAAUCACUUGUCUUUUAAAUGAAGACCCGUAUGAAUGGCAAAACGAGGGCUUAACUGUCUCCUUCCCUAAGUCAGUGAAAUUGAUCUCCCCGUGCAGAAGCGGGGAUAACCCCAUAAGACGAGAAGACCCUAUGGAGCUUUAGACAAAUGAUUGAACCACAUUCCCUAAACCCCCGCUACGGGGACAAAUUUAAUGGACUAUCACUCAAUGUCUUCGGUUGGGGCGACCAUGGGGAAGACAAAACCCCCACGUGGAAAGGGGCUACAAGCGCAUGAUCACAGCCCCUCAGGGCAGGGCGACAGCCCUACCUAGCAGAAAUUCUGACCAAUCUGAUCCGGAUACUCCGAUCAACGAACCAAGUUACCCUAGGGAUAACAGCGCGAUCCCCUUUUAGAGUCCAUAUCGACAAGGGGGUUUACGACCUCGAUGUUGGAUCAGGACAUCCUAAUGGUGCAGCCGCUAUUAAGGGUUCGUUUGUUCAACGAUUAAUAGUCCUACGUGAUCUGAGUUCAGACCGGA